rnacentral:rRNA from 1 species
CCAAUAGCGUAUAUUAAAGUUGUUGCAGUUAAAAAGCUCGUAGUUGAAUUUCGAGACCGGUUUACUGGUCGUGCUUUUGUACGUACUGGUAUAAUCGGUUUCUCUUUUCUGACGAAAUAUAAUGCCAUUAAUUUGGUGUUAUAGGGAAUCAGGACUGUUACUUUGAAAAAAUUAGAGUGUUUAAAGCAGGCUCACGCUUGAAUACAUUAGCAUGGAAUAACGAAAUAGGACGUUUGAUUUUAUUUUGUUGGUUUCUAGGAUCGACGUAAUGAUUAAUAGGGAUAGUUGGGGGCAUUAGUAUUCAAUUGUCAGAGGUGAAAUUCUUGGAUUUAUUGAAGACUAACUACUGCGAAAGCAUUUGCCAAGGAUGUUUUCAUUAAUCAAGAACGAAAGUUAGGGGAUCGAAGACGAUCAGAUACCGUCGUAGUCUUAACCAUAAACUAUGCCGACUAGGGAUCGGAUGAUGUUAAUAUUAAUGACUCAUUCGGCACCUUAC